ACGCAUCUUUUGUCUUCUUACACAUUAUAAAGUAUUUCUUACCAAAAUAGAAGAUUGAUCCAGUAACACUUGGACCUCAUUUUCCAGUUACCCUGCAAUGGAUCUUGUUGUAGCUUAUCUGCAUGAUCGAGCUUUACGACGUGAACGAAGGUAUCGGGACCCUUUGGAUCCCAAAAAUAUAAGCGAUGAAAAUCAAAUUAGAUAUAGGUUUCCUCGAUGUGAAAUUCUAAGACUGUGUUAAGAUUUAGAUCCAUUUUUAAGGCGUAGAACGAGAAGAUCUCAUGCUGUUCCCAUACACACGCAAGUGUUAGUUGCCUUAAGAUUUUAUGCCAAUGGAACCUUUCAACAUGUACUUAGUGAUACAGCUGAAGCUGUAGCAGGGACAGGCCAAGCAGUCCGAGCCAAUGUAGUCCGUAAUUGGUUUACUUGAUGAAUUAAAAUCAAAUAUCAAUUCACCAAUACAAUUUUCUUCUAUGUUUAAAUAGUACUUUUUAGUGCAGUAUACAGAGGUAAUGCGAAUAAAGCGUACAUUGAUUUAACUUUUAUUUUCAAUAUUCUGUACAUAAAAAAAUAAACUUCUUUAUAGAAAUUAAA